rnacentral:rRNA from 1 species
GAUGAACGCUGGCGGCGUGCCUAAUACAUGCAAGUCGAGCGAACGGACGAGAAGCUUGCUUCUCUGAUGUUAGCGGCGGACGGGUGAGUAACACGUGGAUAACCUACCUAUAAGACUGGGAUAACUUCGGGAAACCGGAGCUAAUACCGGAUAAUAUUUUGAACCGCAUGGUUCAAAAGUGAAAGACGGUCUUGCUGUCACUUAUAGAUGGAUCCGCGCUGCAUUAGCUAGUUGGUAAGGUAACGGCUUACCAAGGCAACGAUGCAUAGCCGACCUGAGAGGGUGAUCGGCCACACUGGACCGGGGAACCGGUCCGGACUCCUACGGGAGGCGGCAGUAGGGAAUCUUCCGCAAUGGGCGAAAGCCUGACGGAGCAACGCCGCGUGAGUGAUGAAGGUCUUCGGUUCGUAAAACUCUGUUAUUAGGGAAGAACAUAUGUGUAAGUAACUGUGCACAUCUUGACGGUACCUAAUCAGAAAGCCACGGCUAACUACGU